ensembl:lncRNA
AAUUAAACUUUUGUUGUGAUGAAGGGGCAGAAGCAUCAAUUUCGGCUCACUAGAAUUGUCUUGCAUGUGGGCUUUGACAACACAAUUUCUCCUUAAAGGACAUGAACAAAUUCCAGCAUUACCUCCCAGACAGUUAUGCCACCAUGCUCCUCCAUUGCACCACAGUGUGUCGCAAAGAGUGCCUUACACUGCAGAGCUACUCACUCUGGGAAAGGAAAGGCUUGGGAGUGGCAGAUUCUUUACUAUACACAGGAUGUCAUUUCAAAAAGGGAUGGAAAGGCAGCAGCACUAACAUCAGAAGGAGCAGACGUCCCGUGCAGCAUCAGCCAGUGGUGCUGUGCGGAUGGCGUGGGGCUGCACGCAGGCGCCUGCGGCAGAGAGGCAGAGGAGGGAGCUGCAGCCACUGCCAGCAGCCAGCUCUGGUGUCCGACUGUGCAAAGUGGGAAUCAAUGGCACUGCUGCAGACAGAAUUCUCAUUUGUUUCUUGCUUGGAGGGAAAAAGCGCUGCAGAUGCGGGGACAGGGACAAAAGUAGCCAGUAUUUCCCCUCUUCUCUUUCUACAUGCUAAUCAGCCACGCUAAUGGGACACUGGCUAAUCUCUCUGGCUUCUGAAUUGAAAGAAGAUGCUCCUCUUCCAAGUAACUAAUGAAUCAUCCCUUUUAGUGCAUAGCAUGCAUGACUGCAUUGUUAAAAGCAGCCUUAAUCACUCACUGAGAAAAGUGAUAUCAAUCAUUUCUCCCCUUUAGAGAUGUUAACUGUGAGCCUCAGGAGCUCUGACUCACAGCCUGUGUGCUGCGGCAAGCCCAGAACGACUGCACUACAUUUUAGCUGGUGACUGGAGCCCCCCGAGUCUUAUCUCUUGUGUCUUCCUAAUAUGGCUCUAAUUGAAGAAAAGGGUAGACUUCUUGGUUUUGUACCUUUCUAGCAAUCUCUGGUCAGGUAGAUUUAAACUGGACUUCACACUGAUGUUCAAAGAGAAGGAUUUUUGGUAGGCAACUGAGUCCUGGCAGAGGACAGGGCCUAACAGUUCCUGAGCUGAUAGAACCCUGCCCUCUAUUUUUCCCUCAGUUCUGCUUGUCUGAUGGACAAGCCGCACACAUAGCUCUUUGUCCUGCUUUACAAGCAUCAGAUUGUCAAUGGGACAGUGGAGUGAGGCAAAAGAAGUAAUACAAGUACAUUUAAAAGUGUUUGACAGUUUCCUGGAGAGAGGCUGAAUGUGUCUGAUGUGAGAAACAUCACUUGUUGAUGUUGAUUGAACAUUCACUUGUUGAUGUUGAGGAACUGCCAGUGGCAGAGCAAACUGAAUGAUCAGAUAAAAAGUUUUCAACCUGAUGGGGAAAAAAUGUUAUCUGCUGUUCUUUCAGAUAUGGUCGGGUGCACUGACAGAAACACUUGUGUUUUCAUCCCACAAAAAACAGUCUCAAAGAUUGUUACCAGCGACAAAUGUUAGAGCUUUCAAUUGUCGGGGAAUGCAACAAUUAAGAUUGCCCACACCAUCUUAAAUCAGCCCUUUUGUGUCUGUAUGUGCAUUACAGACAUGAGAGCAUGAUGUAGCUGAGUUAUCUUAUUACAUCCAGGUUAUCUCUUGGAUCAGACUCUCUGUCAAUAGCCCCACAAAUGCAAGAAGAGCUCUGGGGCCUCUGAGGAGGAGAUGUAUGGGCAGCUCUGAGUGCCAGUGACUGAAAGUAUGCUUCUUGUUCCC